CUCUUUCUUGUUCCCGCCAAAGUAAAGCCCUUGUUAAAAUCCACCUCUGAAAAAAUCUGAUAAAAAUCCGUAAUCAUCAUGCCACCCGUCCGAUUGAGACAGUCCAAAUUGUCCAACAAACAAGUCCAGAGGCAGAGGACCUCACCUGCUAGGGGAAGAGGGAGGCGAAGGACAGUUCAACCUGACGAAGCAGCAACGUCUUCAGAUACGGUCAAUGUGUCUGCAUCCAUCAUGCCCACACAGAUGAUAGAAGAGAGUCAGCAACCACCACAGCAGGCUGUAUCUCCUAUCUUUCAGAUUCAUCAGAACCUACUGGAAGAUGACUAGACACCAUGCCUCUCCUAAAUCCGUCUUGGUAAAGAGACCAUUGACAACCAGCAAUGCUAGUAUAUUCUAUACCAGAGUCCAUCUUGACAUCUUGGAGCCAAUGGCCAUGUCGAACAGCUGUGAUAAUUUUUCAGCAACAAAAUACUCAUGUCUCUAGCAAUUUUAAUCGUUAGGACACUAUAUUGUCACACUGCCCUCCGUGGUGGGUCCUGGGGGACCUAAUGGGAGGUCUUUUCGGGACAUGUCUGGCCCGUGCGUUUUCCCCCAUCUGUCAAUUAGGCGGAGGGCUGGUAUACAUGUGUUGGGAAAUCGGCAUCCCAUGUGCUAAUGAUUGGGGUUCACAAGUAUCACGCCAUACUUGGGACCCCCUCCACCUCCUAACAAAGGGGGGGAGGCUCACCUGGUGUACUCAAGGUUAGCAAGUACGAGUAUAUACCAGGGAGCAAUCACCGGAAAACAGGGUAAACAGUCAUGUCCCGAGUCAUCCCCGUCCACAUGUCAUUCAUCAAGCAUGGGACAUCUCUGGCACUUGUGAUCAACACAAGGCCCCCGUCUUGCCCGUUGUGCACCUUUUUGCGUGUUGGUAUUUCGGUGGACCCCCAGACCUUUCCAUAGCCGAGCAAGGACAGUGUGGCCUUUCGCCAAUACCCAUGGACUUUGUGGUUAACAUGUUUGUGUUUUGACAUAGUCACUCAUCUGUGUAUUGAUUCUGUGUUGGCAAAUAAUAAAUUGUGAACUGUU
rnacentral:misc_RNA from 1 species